UGAAAAAAUAGCUGGGAGUGCUACAGAAAUGCACUUUCAGUGUUACGAAAAUUACUCACCACCAUGUGCAAAACAUUUUCUUUUCAACUCAGGUUCAAAACCUGACAUAACAACAAACCUGUUUAGUAAUUGUCAUUAGUUACCUAAGGGCUUUUGACAAGUUUUGAGAGAAAACUGGGUCAGCACAUAAAGGCAGCCUUUGAAUGUAUUACCUAUGUAUUGAAAAGCCGUGCAACACUUAAUAUGUUGCAAAGGAAAAAUGUGUGUGGGUCGUGUUUCAUGUUAUAAAUAGACAGAUAGGCAAACACUUACACUGUAUCAUUUCCAAGAAAAACAUCUCCUAUUCCAGUAACCUGUCCCUCUUUUCAUAUCUCAGAUUUAGUAAUCUUUUUACUGAAUUGCAGACUGCCCUUGGACUUCUAGUCAUCCUUUAAUUUAAAUAAAAGCUAUUGGCGUCUGUAGUUUUAUUUCUGUUUUUUUCCUUGACCUAAGUGCUUUAAUGACCACGAAUGGUCCUGACCGAAAUUCCAAUGAGAGAGUCUGCUGCACUUCAGGAGAACCAUGACUUGCCACAUGCAAUCAACUGCCCUGUGGAUAUUUUAGGACUGCAGCUUCAGAUGAAUGAGGGAUACUUGGAAAAAGACAUCCUUCUGGACAUGUUGUUCAGCUGUGAGAUGAAGACGUGCAUGCCAUGCUGGGUGAAGAGCUGGCCUGUUGAUGUUCAGAAGCAUUUCCUUGCCAAGAGGGUGGUUGCACACUGGAAGAGGCUCCCUAGAGAGGUGAUCGAUGUCCCAUGCCUGACAGUGCCUUAAGAGGAGGCAUUUGGACAACAAUUUUUAUAAUGGGCUUUGACUGUUGGUCAGCUGUGAUCAGGACUAGAUGAGUGUUGUGUGUCCCUGCCAACUGGAACUAUCUAUUCUCUCCUAAUUAAAAAUUUAUGAAAGUUGCUGAACCAAAUAAAACCAGAAAGUCAAAA